rnacentral:rRNA from 1 species
CAGCAGCCACGGUAAUACGAAGGGUGCAAGCGUUACUCGGAAUUACUGGGCGUAAAGCGUGUGUAGGUGGUUGUUUAAGUCUGUCGUGAAAGCCCUGGGCUCAACCUGGGAAUUGCGAUGGAUACUGGGCGACUAGAGUGCGGUAGAGGAUAGUGGAAUUUCCGAUGUAGCAGUGAAAUGCGUAGAGAUCGGAAGGAACAUCUGUGGCGAAGGCGACUAUCUGGGCCAACACUGACACUGAGACACGAAAGCGUGGGGAGCAAACAGGAUUAGAUACCCGUGUAGUCCCUGUCUCUUAUAC